rnacentral:rRNA from 1 species
UACGGGGGGAGCAAGCGUUGUUCGGAUUUACUGGGCGUAAAGGGCGCGUAGGCGGCGCAACAAGUCACUUGUGAAAUCUCCGGGCUUAACCCGGAGCGGUCAAGUGAUACUGUCGUGCUAGAGUGCGGAAGGGGCUACUGGAAUUCUCGGUGUAGCGGUGAAAUGCGUAGAUAUCGAGAGGAACACCUGCGGCGAAGGCGGGUUGCUGGGCCCUACCUGACGCUGAGACGCGAAAGCGUGGGGAGCGAACCGG